CUCGCCUGCCGCCCUCCCCAGCUCACCCUCACCCUGCUUGGCCCUCGGGACUAGCAUCCAGGGGCUGCGGCAGAGAAUGUGUUUAUCGGGGUUCCGUAGGGUCCCCACUCGGCUCCGCAGGUCGCAGCAUCUCAGUGGGGUCGCGCUGUGUCCCCGACCACAGAGUGCUGCAGUGAGGGACGCUGAACUCGUGCCCUCUCUGAACGCAGUUGGGGUCGUAGCAUUUCUUGUCUCCCGGGAGCAAGCACACAUUUACAGCGCCUUUGAAAACGCGCUGAUCCAGCCUCGGGGAACAAGGCAGUGGGAGGCCUCGACCCUGUGAGGGGGUACUGGGGACAAACGCUGACCCGCCGCCGCCCGUGCACUUCUCUUCUGUGCCCACCAGGGGGCGGCAUGGGCCCAGGGCUUGGGACCCACUAGGACACUGCUGCGGGGCUCCACCAAAACCCUUGUCCCCCCCAAGGGCUGCCUCUGCGGCUGACUGGCGGGACCCCCUCCUCCCCAGGGUCUGAUCCUGUCAAAGAUGAGGACCCUGGCCCCAGAGACCGGCCGUGAGCUCCUUGCACUGCCAGAAGGACAAGGGCCACCAGCUGCUGAACCUGCUGAAGACAUGAAGCCCACAGGGAGGCAGGCCACCGCUGGGGUGCUGUGCUGAGCCUGCAGGUUCCAGGAGCAGCCCGCACACUGCCCUCCCCGGAGGCCAGCCGCCUGGCACGUCCCUGCUUCACCUCGCUUCCAGGGGUGGGGCAGCCAGUGUCCUGAAGGGGGCGCACCUGCUCAGGAGCAGCUGAGGAACUCCCGGGCCCCUAGGGCGGGGGGGACCGGAAGCGGAUCUUCUUGGCUGUCUCCUCGUCGGACUUGGCCACUAGGAACCGCAUCUUCUUCCCCCCAUGGCGGAUCAGGUCCACAGCUCUGGAACCAGCGAGGGGAGGGCAGCCCAGCGAUGGCCACCUCAGCCCCACCCUCGGCCUCAGUGGGGAGGCUUGCCAGCUGGGCCAGGGCGCCAGCGUGUCUGCAAGCACAGCGCUGGACACCACACCAUCCUCAGGCCCAGGACGGACACAGAGGCCUGGGGACGGAGACAACAGCAGGCCAGGGCGGGGCUCCAGCACGGCCCUCUCCCUCCGUUCACAAUCCACCCCAGGGAGACACCCACCAGGUCCCUGUCCCAAGUUCCAGUCUCCACCAGUGACCGGAGCCCCGGGGCCACUCACCAGCCCG